rnacentral:rRNA from 1 species
AUUGAACGCUGGCGGCAGGCUUAACACAUGCAAGUCGAGCGGGGGAAGGUAGCUUGCUACUGGACCUAGCGGCGGACGGGUGAGUAAUGCUUAGGAAUCUGCCUAUUAGUGGGGGACAACAUCUCGAAAGGGAUGCUAAUACCGCAUACGUCCUACGGGAGAAAGCAGGGGAUCUUCGGACCUUGCGCUAUUAGAUGAGCCUAAGUCGGAUUAGCUAGCUGGUGGGGUAAAGGCCGACCAAGGCGACGAUCUGUAGCGGGUCUGAGAGGAUGAUCCGCCACACUGGGACUGAGAAACGACCCAGACUCCUACGGGAGGCAGCAGGGGGGAAUAUUGGACAAUGGGGGGAACCCUGAUCCAGCCAUGCCGCGUGUGUGAAGAAGGCCUUUUGGUUGUAAAGCACUUUAAGCGAGGAGGAGGCUACUCUAGUUAAUACCUAGGGAUAGUGGACAUUACUCGCAGAAUAAGCACCGGCUAACUCUGUGCCAGCAGCCGCGGUAA